CAGGCGUUGGCGCUGCGUGCAGGCAGCCCAUCUGUGCCACCGUAUGCUCGCCACCGGGAUGCACAAGCAGUGCAAUGAAGCUGGAUGGGGCAGGGGCUGGUGAGAGGAGACCCGAGGAGGGCUCCUGACUGCGUGUCCUGCAUGAAGAAGAAACCCCCCUGCACCCACCACCACCAUUUCCCUGUGGUGCCCACAUAGAGCUCCGCCGCUUCAAAGCCUCCGUGACCCUGGGGCCGGGAUUCUGCUCAGCUCUUGGGAGAGCAGAAAGGUGAGACCAAAAACUUAGAGCCUACAAAGGUGUUUCUCCCAGCCUCGAGGAAUUUCAGGCUCCACGAGUGCAAUCGAGCGAAUGGGAUUUUUGUUUGUGCAGUGCACAGCAGAAGCUGACAAGCAGCUGAGCCAGCCACGGGGCGAGGGAGACAGAGCACUGAGCUGCAGAGCUGUCACGCCACAGGGCAGAAGAGAGGACAGGAAGACAAAGGACUGAGACCCAAGGAAUCCAAUUAGAGCAGGAAAGUGACUAAAUACUGCAGUGGGGGGCAUAGAAAUAAGGAGGGCAGGCAGGAGCCGCCAAUCCCGGCGUAACUCUCUACCUACCCGUGUUACCGAGGGUUUGUCAGGAGGGGAACCCCCAAAGCCCCUCACCACCUCGCAGAGCACCCCUUUACCCCUUUGUGUUGAGCACUUCUGUGUCACCACGUGGUGACAUCAUAAGCAUAGGGCAGAAGAUGCUCGGAGAAGCCCUGCGGGUGCUGUGGAGGGCUGACCCCUCAGGGUGCCUUGGCCUCAUCCCUGCACCAGAUCCAACAGAUUUUGGCCAAAGAGAACAGUCAGAUCACCCAGGUCAGAGAUACUUAAUGAUCUUAAUGGCAAUCUACUGGGCAGAAAGCAGUGCUCCUGAUUGAGCUUUGUGUCUGGACACCUCAAAUGCCACCUCCGUGCUCCUCGCAGGAUCCCCAAGCCUGUUAUCGGCUGCAUCAGUGCCAGGAUCUCAGCUUGCAGCUGGGGAAGCUGCUCCCUGCCUGCUUGCAGUGUGCACACAUGCAGGAACAAGUGUGCGCACCUCUGCAUGCAAAACUUUGCAUCUUAAUAUUUCUAUGGAAAACCAAACGCUUCUGCAAUCCGUUCACCCUGGCUGGGAGACGAGUGCAGACCGAAGCGAGGCACCAGACCUGGCUCCCACUCUCCUUUUUGUUUGGAGGAAAACUGCCUUUCCGCACCGACACACAACAAAGAGCACGCAGCUGUCCAAAUGGCGAAAAAUUAACAUUUCAUUGAAGAGAAACCCAAAAGACUCCCGGAAAACACUGCAGCAGAAACGUCAUUACCACCCAAGACAGAUCCUACGGAUGUCACUCAUUUUCACCCAGCAAAGCACGCUCUUCAGAAGGAACGACUUACCCAAGUCACCAACGGGAUCGAAUGGGAUUCCUGUGAAGCCGUGCGGAGUGAUCGGAGGACCCGAGCGCUUUUAUAGGGUCCUUGGUGGAGGAGCAGAAAGGAGCCACCCUUUGUGGACAUUGUCCUGAUUCAUCUUUGGCCAAACCCAGCUGCGCCUUCAUGUCCUCAAACGGGUUAUUUAACUUAUCAUCCCAUUACCUAUCAUUUUAACCCAGAAAUAGCAGUUGCCGUGUGGCAAUCCAGGCAUUGGCUGGUUCCGCCUAAUCCGGACUGUAAAGUUAUUUUACGGGCUGAUUGUGUUUUAGAUUUAGGAAAAAAAAAAUCUAGACUGUCUAUAAAGUAUAUAUAUAUAUUAAUGGGAGGAUGUAUUUUUUUAUGAACGUGUCUCUUCGUAGGUAUGCGUUUAUGUAUGUAUAAUACACGCACAUAAAAAUAGAACCUGGGAGGGUGUUGUAAGCAGAUGUGGGGACCUGCCCACUGCUUUGCAGAUCCUUGGGGCUGGGGUCCCACAGUUUGACUCUGGGUUUUGCUCAUAGAGGAAGGGCAGAAGAAGCCCUAAGAACUACAAAGGUGGUGAAAUGCAGGUGCUCAGCAGAGAGAUCCCCAAAUCCUGCAGGAGAUCUCAGCUUGCGUGGUGUCCCUGUAGCAUGCGCUGAAACGUGUUGUUUUUUUUCUUCCUUGCUAACUUCUCAUUAAGGAGCCUUUCAUUGUAUGAUUUGUUGGAAAAAGAAAACCAACAAACCACCCAAACCAACAAAACUUUCGUGAAUGGUAAAAUCUGCAAAACGGGCUUUUAAACCAGAAAACGCCUGUUCAAUAUGCAACGACUUUUCAUUGAGAAAAAUGAUGACAAAACAUUUUUUAUGUUAACUCUUUUCCGUGAGCGGAUUUCAUUCCAACUUUUCUUGAUCUUUAAUUAAAACUAAAAGUGGAAGCCUCUCGGCUGGGAGUUCAGUUCAUGUUGAAGCUUCAUCUGGUCGCUCUAGGCAACUUUUGCUGAAAUUGCCUCUCCAAUCUCCCCCCACCUUCUUUUUUUCAUUAAUAUCUUGCGAGUGUAAAUGAAUUUGAGACCAGUGGGUUCCUUUAUUCCUCCCAAACUCUCCCCGUGCAGGGAGCACACAAGGAAAGAUUUGGCCAUGCCACCUGGGCUCUACGUUGGAGCUGAGCUGCAUGGCAUGACAGAGACAUUGCGGGCGGCUCCGGAGCAGGAACUUGCCACGCAGCCUUGGCUGAGCUGUUCAUCUAGCCCAUCUGAUGCAGACACGCACAGUGCCUGGAGCAGAUGCACGCUGCCAAGUACCUGCUCAAAGGUCAUCGUGCCAUUGCAUCAAUCCCAACAUCCACCCUCUCUGAAGACAUCGGAUGUCACGUCCCUGCCUGUGGGG